UACGUAGGUGACAAGCGUUAUCCGGAUUUAUUGGGCGUAAAGCGCACGAGGCGGCUUUGUAAGUCUGACGUGAAAUCCCCGGGCUCAACCUGGGAAUUGCGUUGGAGACUGCAAGGCUGGAGUCUGGCAGAGGGGGGUAGAAUUCCACGUGUAGCAGUGAAAUGCGUAGAGAUGUGGAGGAACACCGAUGGCGAAGGCAGCCCCCUGGGUCAAGACUGACGCUCAUGCACGAAAG
rnacentral:rRNA from 1 species